AGGCCAGAGGAGGCUACUCCCUCUGCCUGGAGCUGAAGCUUGCAUUGGUUUCCUAAGUCGGCUGCAGAAUUGCCUGCAGAGGGCACAAGCCAGUAACAGGCUGCAUUAGUGGCCCUGCGGGGACGAGCCACCCGCCCUGCCCAGGGAGGCACAGACCUGGUUCCACUGCACGACAGCCACCCAGAGUGGGCACCUCUACCUGUACCUCUGAAGCCACGUGGAGCAUGGAAGAGUUGUAGCCAUGCCCCAGCCUGCAGAGUCCACGGGAACUCACGGAGGCUGGUGUGGUCCUGGCUGUGUCCUUGGUGAUGGCUGGGAUGUGGACAGUGUUCUGGCAUGAGGAGACCUCCUUCCCUGCUGGAGCCCCCUUCACCAGCUCUCGAAUGUUCCCACCUCUCUCACCUGCCAGGAGCAACCUGCUAGGGAUUGGCAGGGAUCCAGGAGUGCUGCGUGAAGGGCCCAGGCCUGUGGCUGUGACGAGAAGGAUUCUCAGGGCCCCUGCCAGCUUCCAGAGGCGUCUCCCUCCUGGAAUCGGGAGGCAAGAUAGGAGGAGGCUGAAGUCUGACUAUCAAGAAUCUGACGGGAUGGCAGCUGGGACCACGGACACGCAGCUCAGGUCCUCCUUUCCUGAUGCCUUGUUGGUGAAGAUGGUCCAGGCUGUGCGAGGGGGUCUGCUCUCCUCACGGCUUCCUGUGCUGCCGGUUCACUCUCCACCCAUCCACCUUCCACAUGCCGAGCUUUUGUAGCCAAUUCUGAGGAUACGAAGGUGCACCUGCUGUAACAUCACGUGUGCCGUCGGAUCAAAUCACAGAGAAUGGGCAGCACAGGACGGGAGGACCAUUGCAGAAUCAAGGACACCAGGGUGGUCACACUGUAGAGUCCAGUUUUAUUACAGAAAUGGAAGACAAGUUUUGGUGCUUUGAAGACUCAGCUCAUUUCUAAGUAAAAGACACAUCAAUGUGAGUUUUGCAAUCCAUUCUUCUAAGAAUAUUCAACCAAAUUUUGAUUUUUAAGAAUUUUCAGUUUGAGGGAUAAUUAAAUGAUAUUUUGAAGAAAUGUCCUUCCAAGUAAACCAACUGUAUCUGGCAUUAAGUAAUAAAUGCAUUCUGUCUUUUUCAAGAGAAGGGUCAACGUGUGUCGAUUAGCUCUUUCCUGAGUGAAGUGUGUCCUCGCAGAGGCUACGUGGGACCUCGUUGGCUGCUGCAUGGUUUGCAAUGACACCAUGUGUGUGUGCCACUCUGCCCGCGGGAGACAGCCACUGCCCUUCCUAAUGCAGAUGUUCUUACAGUAAACAAGUGCAUUCCAGAUUCGAGGUUUCAGAGAUGUGAAGUCAGGGCCAAGGACCUCCUAGGCCACUCGUAGGCCACUGUGGUGGCUUCUUGCCCAGCAGUGCCAUCGUUUCUACAUUUCAACAUGUUUGGGUCAGGGUAGGUCAACAGGGAGCUCUGACAGACAGCCGGCCUCCUUCUGGAGCCCAGAGGUGGGCGGGGCUGGCGCCCACUCCACUGAGAUGCUGGAUGGCAGAGGAACAGGUGGGUGACGUGCUCAGCUAGUCAGUUGUGCUGUGAGUGUCACCAACCUCAGAGCAGGCUUGUUUUUGUUCCCAGAGCUGCAGGAGCAGAGUUCCACACUGGGAGGCUCAGACAACAGAGGACUGGAAGCCCAGGGUCACGGUGCUAGCCAGGUCAGUCUCCUCUGGGUGCCUCUCCUGGGCCGGUAGGGCCGGCUGCUGGCUGAACCCUCCUGUUGUCUGUCUUCUGUGGUUUUUCUGUGUCCAAAUCUCUUCCUUUAAGGAAAACAGUGAUAGUGAUUUGGGUCCACUCUCUUGAUCUCUGUAAAGACCCGAUUUCCAAACACAGUCACUUUCUGAGACCCUGGAGGUUCAGACCACCGUGAAAUUGCUGGGGCACAAUUCAGACCAUGGCAAAGGUCAGCAGUGAAGGUCUGUAGAAUGGUAAAGUCCGCAGCAGAAAACUGCCCACGCCAUCCAACACCCCAAUUCACAGAUGGACAGCUGAGGCUCAGAGGCCGCAUGUUCAACCCAGUUACAUAUUAAUUUGUAUCUGAAAUUAGGCCACAAAAACCUGGUCUUCUUUGAGAAGCAUUUAAAGCAUCAAAUAAUUUAUAACAACUUUGAUCAGCUUUUGACAUUCUCUUUUUCUUCAAAUGCACUUAAAUCAUGUAUGGCUGCUUCUCCACUUUAAAACCCGUUAGUUUUUUUUUUUUUUAAAGUUAAAUGGAUGGUGGUGUCUGCUUGCUCCAUUUUACCUAGUUUUAUGUCCCAGUGAUUCACUGACUUGCGGAUCAUCCCGCCCUAAUGAUGGUGCCAGUUUUCUGGUGUGGAGAUUCGAGCACCCAAAAGAGCACCCAGUGUGGGCCCAGCCACAGGGAGCGUGGGGCUGAGGAGCCUGGGCUGGGCAGGCGGGUUGACCUCCUUGGCCUCGGAGUCCCCUAUGAAGUGGGAGGAUGAAGGUCCACGAGCCUGUGAGAGGCCAUUGAGUCAAAGCGCCACCUGACACGGAUCACACAGUCACCAGGGUCACUGUGCGCUUGCCACCUGCAUAUCCCACACUGAGGUCCCCCCACCCCGGCCCUGCUGCUCCUUGUGGAGAACGGGCUCAGGCCGCUGGAUGGCUUCUCACCCCUCAGCCCCAGACAAUGCUGCCAUUGGAACGUCCUGGCCUUAGUCAAUGGGGCUUUGUUCAUUGGGGUUUAAACUAUCCUCAGUUUUCCUCUAAGGACUUUCCCUGUGCACUAGGAACUGAGCGGACUCGGAGUUCCACCUCGACACCCCAGGCUCCUGGCUGGACCCAGCUGUGUGUCUGCAGGAGAGGGGUCCACAGACCCUGAGCAGUGCCAUGUUGUCACUCGGGCUCCUGACCUCGGAGGGGUCGCAGGAGCUUAGUUUCUUCACCAACUACCAUGGCCAUUCGUCCUUUCCAUACUCUCAUCUCUAGAAAUAACAUUUUGCAUAGCUUGUAUCACAUUUAAUUAUCUUCAUUCACGUUUCUAUUUCCUCUUCUAAAGUAUGAGCUUCCCCAGGGCUAUGGCCAUGUCUUAGUUGCCUGUUCCUAGCACUAAAUAGGCACCAGAUAUAUAGUAGGUGCUCAAAAGAACUACCCAAGACUAGUGCAUGGGUAGAUGUGGUCCUGCCUAUUAAUUACAGUCUUGCAGUAGACUUCUAGGAUUGGCUUUUGCUGUCCCAUAAGGAGACUCUGAUGUGGACAGCCUCACUGGACAUGUCGACCCGACGUCUUGUUGCCCAGGGAUUAGUUGACACCUGGUUCUGGAGACGAACCUCAGAAGUGAAUCUAGGCAGCAGGCGUCACUUGGGCAGAGGCUCAGAGGAGCAGAUGCUCUGUUUCAGUGCUCAGCCAAGGGCCAGAAGCAAGUCACCUGGCCUCCUGGGGAGCGGGAGCAUCAGCCGGUAAAGCGACUACUUGAGGUCACCGUGCAACCUUCCCUGGAUGUUCAAAUGGCAGUCAUGGAGGCAGAGACUGGAUUGGUCCCAGUUUCCUCCAUGUUGCAGAGGUAAGGAUUGUGACGCAGACCUUGGUGUAAUGUUGGGGACAGCACUGGGGGACUCCUCUUUCUCAGAGCAAGGAGCUGGGCUCAGCAGCACCCUGUCCUGCCCGUGACCAGGGAUGGCCUUGCUGUGGCAGAGACCCAUGUGGGGGCAUGGGUGACGGUGUCCCACUCACAUGUCUCUAAGACCAGAGAUGGCAGGGUAGCCUUCCUAGUUGGGGAUUUCUGGUUCCACGACAGAGCAAAGAAGUGGCCCCGGAUACAGGAGGUGGCUGAUGUCACCACCCCAAACCAUAUUACAUCCCUCCACCGAUGACAAAUUGCUUUGUUCCUUGAGAGAGAGAAGCAGUCUGUAAAGGAGACUGUCAUAACAUGUGCUCUCUACUUCCUAAGCUUAUUGGAGGCCUGACCCCGAAUCCUUGAGAUGCUCCUCAUUGAACCUCUUCUCAUUACUUGGUGAAGGAGUCAGAAUUAGUAAUGGGGACACCCCCCUUUGCGGGCCCACUUUCAAUUACCAGAAGAUUUAGAGGACUCGGGGGGGUCUGCUCAUCUCUGCUGCCCUGCGACCUCUGACUCUGAUUCUUUUAUCUCUCUCUGGACGUCCCCCAUCCCGGCAGGCCACACUGCGCUGGCUAAAUAAACCCUGCAAAUCUAGCUUUUGUGUCCCGCUAAUCCUUUUAUUUCCUAAAUCUGAUUUAAUCCGAAAGGCUUCCUUUCAUCUCCCCAACUGUCCACUGGGUCACUCUGCAUCCUAUAAGCAGUCCUUGCAAACCCCAGAGUGACCUGCAAAGCUUCCCAGUGUCUCCCUGAUUCUCAUUAGCGCCUGGGCAGACGAGGUAACACCUGCCAAGUGGCAUCUUAGAGAAAGGCCCCUUGGAGCCAUGGCGGCCACUGUGCCCAGUGAAAGUCAAGACCUGCACAUCCUGGCUCAGGAGGAUGCCCGUCUGCCUGCAGCAAUACCAGCCCUCUCCCCUGACAUGCCCAGGGCUGUGGAGAGAGGAAGAAAGGCUGAGAUUCUGACCUCUAAAACCCUGGACCACCGGCUGAGAACAAAGUUGAGUUGCGUUCAGGGAAACAGAAGGCCCAAUUCAUGCUAAAUAAAUUUUAUAUAGUUUGACUUAAGUGAAGAUGAGCCUUGGGUUUGGGGGAGGGAUCCUAGUAAUGAAGACAAUUUCACUGCCGAGAGAGUGGCCAUACAGCAAAUCCCGAUAUUAUCUAAGAUGGACAUUUCUAUUUCAAGUUCUUCUAAAUUCCCAGUCGUUACAUUUAUAACUUGCAUCAUGAAAACCUGAUAUCAAACUGCAAAUCACUGAUAUCAAACUUGAUAUCAGUGAUUUGCAGUUGUACCCGGGAUGCCUCUGUCCUGAGCGCUCCUGCUCCUUCCUGGUAGACUCGCACUCCUGGGCGUGUUCCUGCCUUGUCUGGACUGACUAGUUCCGAGAGGAGCUGAGGGCGUCCUGCCCACCUAAACUGCAGCUUCCGUGUGCCUUAGGAGGCUGCACAGGGUGCCAUCACAAGGACAGCGCCCUUGCCAUGAGCUUGACAAUUAGCGUGGAACUGCUCCAGGGCCGGUGUGGUCAGCAGCUGGAUUCUCACUUGAUUAGUCAGUAUGGGGACAGGUCUCAAGAAAAACGCUCUUGCAAGAAAAGCCCGUGGGGUGGAGAGGAGAAGGAAGUGUGGAGGCAGGUGGGCCCAGGAGGCCUGGCUCUCCCUAAGCUCUCCCCGUGGGUGGCCAGUUUCACUGCUGUCUGCCAUCUGGCUGCCCCUGGCUCUAAUCCCACCUGCACAGGCAAUCUCCAGACCCCCAUUCUCUCCACAUCCCUCG